rnacentral:rRNA from 1 species
AGUGAACGCUGGCGGUAGGCCUAACACAUGCAAGUCGAACGGAAGCACAGUAAGAGCUUGCUCUUACGGGUGGCGAGUGGCGGACGGGUGAGGAAUAGAUCGGAAUCUACUUUUUCGUGGGGGAUAACGUAGGGAAACUUACGCUAAUACCGCAUACGACCUACGGGUGAAAGCAGGGGAUCUUCGGACCUUGCGCGAUUGAAUGAGCCGAUGUCGGAUUAGCUAGUUGGCGAGGUAAAGGCCCACCAAGGCGACGAUCCGUAGCUGGUCUGAGAGGAUGAUCAGCCACACUGGAACUGAGACACGGUCCAGACUCCUACGGGAGGCAGCAGUGGGGAAUAUUGGACAAUGGGCGCAAGCCUGAUCCAGCCAUACCGCGUGGGUGAAGAAGGCCUUCGGGUUGUAAAGCCCUUUUGUUGGGAAAGAAAAGCAGCAGGUUAAUACCCCGCUGUUCUGACGGUACCCAAAGAAUAAGCACCGGCUAACUUCGUG